rnacentral:rRNA from 1 species
UACAGAGGUCUCAAGCGUUGUUCGGAUUCAUUGGGCGGAAAGGGGGCGUAGGUGGCGGGGCAAGUCAGGGGUGAAAUCUCGGGGCUCAACCCCGAAACUGCACUUGAUACUGCCUUGCUCGAGUACUGGAGAGGAGACUGGAAUUUACGGUGUAGCAGUGAAAUGCGUAGAUAUCGUAAGGAAGACCAGUGGCGAAGGCGAGUCUCUGGACAGUUCCUGACACUGAGGCACGAAGGCCAGGGGAGCAAACGGG